UGACCUUUUCCCUCUUUUUUUGUUUCCAUAUAUGGAUGUAUGUACCUUUUUUUCGUUUAUAUAUAACCAUAGUAAUCCAUUUACAGCUUUAUGUGUAUGUAUGAUGUUUUUGUUGAUUUCACAUAUAUCCUUUAACUGCAUAUUAUUUGAGGUUUGAUUACACUGUUGAAAUGUCAAGCUUCAAAUUUGAUCAUUGGGGAAAUCCAGGAAGCUAUAUUGCUUUUGCACCUUCGAAAUAAUAAUGUUAUACCUAUUAACUAUUUUAAAUUAUAACAGUAACAGACACAAGCACAAAUGUAAGAAAAACAGAAAAAAAAAUAUUUUUAUGGUAGUUUUCUUUUCUUGAUGGCCAUGUGACUAGAAUAAUAAUUUUCAUUUUCUCUUGGUAGAGUCAAAAGCUUAAUACUCUAAAUUGGCAUGUUAUUUCUGGUCAGUUGGAUAAAAAUUCUCUGCACAUGUCAAGUCUACUCUCUAAAGGUGUCAAUUUUAUUUAUUACUAGUAAGAUGGGGACUGUUAUUGAUUUGACUGGCUAAAGAAAAGUCUCUUUUAUGCCCAUAGCACUUUGUAUCCUUUUUCUUUUGAAGUUGGGGUUGGUAUUGACUUGACUUGCUAAAGAACAGAGAUGGAAUGGUUCCCUUAUCUGCCCAUAGGAGUUUGUACUUUCCUUAAUAGCUGAUAAUCAUUCCUUUUAAGUAAUUAUAAUACCAAAACUGAUUUCAGUUGUUUGUAAUUGAAGACAAAAUAGAGCUCAUCAGUUGCUGCAAUACUCAAAAGUUGUAAGGCAACUUAGUUGGAGCAGACAAUGAAGCAAAUUCCAGUCACCAGAUGAAGUCGUUUAUGCAAUUCACUGGAUGUGGAAAUUGAGAAAUUGAUUGCAUAAAUUUGUAAGCUCUGAUGACUUCCCUAGGCAUCGAAACAACUUCUUCUUCAUCUUCAUUUUUGCCACCUUCAUGCCCUUAAUGGAAAUAUGACGUCUUCCUAGGUUUUAGAGGUGAAGACACCUGCAUAAACUUCACAGACCAUUUAUAUGCUGGUUUGAAGCAGAAAGGAAUAAUUGUCUUUAGAGAUGACCAACACCUUGAGAGAGGAAAAGACAUUGCAAUAGAACUCUUGAAAGCCAUUGAAGAGUCAAAGUUUUGAAUUGUUGUUUUCUCAAAAAACUAUGCUUCUUCAACUUGGUGUUUGGAUGAACUUGUUAAGAUUGUCGAAUGUAUGGACACAAAGGGAUAACUAAUUUUCCCAGUAUUCUAUAAUGUUGAACCUUCUGAUGACCAAAACAAAAAGGAAGCUUUGAGAAAGCUUUUGCUAGACAUGAAGAUGUAAUACCCAGAAUUUUUCUUUAAUAAUGAUAAUUUUAAUAAUAAUUAAUAAAUGAGUUUAUUUAAAAUAAUUUUUUUAUUUGUAUUUGGUUUAAAUUGGAAUGAUUUAAAUGGAAAUUUUAAUGCUAGACAAAUAAAGGAGUUAUUUUUAUAUCAAAUUAGUUUGAUUUUUAAGAAAUUAAUUAAGUAAAUUCUUUGAGAUCGGGGGUCGGAUAGGAAGAUCGAAAGCAGGGAUCAUCAUCAGCACGUCGUUUCGAGUCCAAUGGUGCAUUCGGAUCGUCGAUCGGACUCCGGCGGCGAGUCGACCGAGCGAUCAAGCGUCUUAAUAAUUUAUCUGGCCCGUUUAUUUUAGAAUUCUUUGGUAAAUUAUGUGUUUUAUUGAUUUGUGUUGAGCUUUAGAAAAAAUGAGUUAAAAUAAUUAAUUGUCCGACUUUAUGCCUUAGGUUGUGUUUUGUGAUGUGUGACGGAGUCGGGAAAAAAAAUAUAAAGUCUUGGGGACCCGACUCCCAUUAAAAUAAAUUGUU